CAGUAGCCGCGGUAAUACGUAGGGUGCGAGCGUUAAUCGGAAUUACUGGGCGUAAAGCGUGCGCAGGCGGUUCGUUAAGACAGAUGUGAAAUCCCCGGGCUUAACCUGGGUACUGCAUUUGUGACUGACGGGCUAGAGUAUGGCAGAGGGGGGUAGAAUUCCACGUGUAGCAGUGAAAUGCGUAGAGAUGUGGAGGAAUACCGAUGGCGAAGGCAGCCCCCUGGGCCAAUACUGACGCUCAUGCACGAAAGCGUGGGGAGCAAACAGGAUUAGAUACCCCCGUAGUCCCUGUCUCUUAUAC
rnacentral:rRNA from 1 species